rnacentral:rRNA from 1 species
GACGAACGCUGGCGGCGUGCUUAACACAUGCAAGUCGAACGGAAAGGCCCUGCUUUUGUGGGGUGCUCGAGUGGCGAACGGGUGAGUAACACGUGAGUAACCUGCCCUUGACUUUCGGAUAACUUCAGGGAACUGGGGCUAAUACCGGAUAGGAGCUCCUGCUGCAUGGUGUGGGUUGGAAAGUUUCGGCGGUUGGGGAUGGACUCGCGGCUUAUCAGCUUGUUGGUGGGGUAGUGGCUUACCAAGGCUUUGACGGGUAGCCGGCCUGAGAGGGUGACCGGCCACAUUGGGACUGAGAUACGGCCCAGACUCCUACGGGAGGCAGCAGUGGGGAAUAUUGCGCAAUGGGCGGAAGCCUGAUGCAGCAACGCCGCGUGCGGGAUGACGGCCUUCGGGUUGUAAACCGCUUUCGCCUGUGACGAGGCGUGAGUGACGGUAAUGGGUAAAGAAGCACUGGCUAACUACGUG